AGAGGGUGAGCUGUGUGUAGGAGAGAAAGCUGUGUGUGAAAGGCUCCCUGUGCUCAAGCCAGGAAACUGAGGAUUAAAGGCUGGAGGAGUCACAGGAUUUUGGAGCUUCCCCCUCUAAAUCACUGAUUCAAAUCUGACUCAGGCUGACAGUGGAUAAAAGGUAUUUCAUCUGCAGGCUGUUUGCUAGCCUAUGUGAAUAGAGUUGAUGAUCUCAAGUCUGCUGGUUUAAUGGAAAAACAACCAAAAAAACCUAGAGAUGGUCCGUUCUGGUCAGGAGAGCAACACAUCAGGGAGUCUCAACAGACCUCACCCACCUCAUAUUUCUUCUGAGAACAAAUAAAGGUUUCCAGUCUCCAGGACUGUCCGCUCAUCUUCCAUGGGUGACAUAUACUGAAAAAUUGAAAUUUUCUUUAAACAUCCUUUGCUGGGUUUCUGCUUGAAACAUAGAAUCAGAUCUUUUAUUUUAAGCCAAUACAAAAAGUUCCAAGAUAUUACAGCAUUGAGAACUUUAGCAAUGCAUAUAAUUUCAUUCGUAAUAAAAUUACUGUGGUUUCUGUUUUA